rnacentral:rRNA from 1 species
UACGUAUGCAGCGAGCGUUGUUCGGAAUUACUGGGCGUAAAGAGUGUGUAGGCGGUGCUCUAAGUUCGGUGUGAAAUCUCCCGGCUUAACUGGGAGGGUGCGCCGGAAACUGGAGUGCUCGAGCGUGGGAGAGGAAAGCGGAAUUCCUGGUGUAGCGGUGAAAUGCGUAGAUAUCAGGAGGAACACCUGCGGUGUAGACGGCUUUCUGGACCAUUGCUGACGCUGAGACACGAAAGCGUGGGUAGCAAACAGG